CUAGACCCGUUUACUGUCAGGCUAUGGCUAGAUCAGGUACCAGCUGGUAGCUGGUUUCUAGCCAGGAGCCUGACUGGUAAAAUCCCCAUCUUAAA
rnacentral:pre_miRNA from 1 species